AUGUCUGGAGGCCGAGACAAGGCAGAGUCAUCUGAGACAUCAAGCACACAUUUUUACAGUAGGCCUGAGAAGCUCUUGAAACAGAUUACUGGGGUAAAAUUGUCUUUUCCUUCUCAUGGUGUCUUCAGCUCAGAAGUGGAUGUCCUUUUUGGAAUAUGUGUUACUCCAAGAUAUUGCGCUGCAUACAGUGAAAACAAGAUGAAAGGCAGGCUUGCAGGUGCGAUACUACUCUAUGAUCAAUUUUACGGAUGUGAUGAAGUACCAAGGAUCAAGGAGGCAAUUGCAAAUGGCACAGAAGCCUAAACUGUGAGUAUACUUUCAGUUGUGUUGUUUUUUUGUGCCAAGCCAUUUCUGUUACUUCGAAGUUAGGAUUUUUCUUUCACUCUUCUCUGUUCUUGUUGACUAUUAAGUUGGUUUGUUUAGUUUGAAGUUCAGUUAGUAAUAAAAGCUCUGACUUUUAAUAUCCCUGUAGGACA
rnacentral:lncRNA from 1 species